CUGAAAUUACGCCUUCCAUGAAGCCGGAAUUGCUAGUAAUGGCAGGUCAGCAUACUGCCGUGAAUACGUUCCCGGGCCUUGUACACACCGCCCGUCACACCAUGAGAGUUGGGAAUACCCGAAGCCUGUGAGCUAACGCAAGAGGCAGCAGUCGAAGGUAGAAUCAAUGAUUGGGGUGAAGUCGUAACAAGGUACC
rnacentral:rRNA from 1 species